rnacentral:lncRNA from 1 species
CGUCUCUGUCUGACCUGCACCCGGUGAUGGAGGUCCUGAGAGCAGUCCUCAAACAAUGACAGACAGGAGGAGAGGAUAUCACAUUCCCAUUGUUUCCUUUGUUGGGAACUGGUAUUCAGCCUCAGAGAGAGAGAGAGAGAAACUUCACUAGAAGGUGAGUUGGAGGUUUACAGUGAUGGUUUUAAUGCUGUUGAGGUUUAUUUUGUAGGUGUGGGGUUGACCAGCUUCCAGGAUCACAGUCUGAGCUACCUGCAGUAGAGAUGACACCCUUUGCAGGUUCUCUGCUCUAGCAUAAUUGCAAUUCAAAGGGACAGGUCCCUUUCCAAAUGGUGAGCACUCAACACCUGAUGGUGCUCAAAGGGAGACCCAUUCAUUUGAUGCAGGUGAUGGUACAACUGACACUUGGCAUUGACAAUUUCACAUCACUAUUUAUUAAUCACUAUGGGUUAUGUCUCGGAUUGUUGUUAACCUGAUUUCUGAGAUGAUGAAGGAAUCAGAUGUGGAAAGUCAAUGCAGUAGCCAUAGUACCUUUGUGAAUUUAAAGUGUUCUAUUUUUUUGUUUUGGGAAAUCAAGUUAUAUUUAUGUGUAUUAGGAGAAACUUGUGACUUUAUCUAUUUGGAAUAAUUUUAAACAGAGAAACUUUCAUCUGAAAUGAUUUUCCAAGGAUAAAUCCAUGUUUGUUAACUGCUAGAUAAAGCUACGUAAGUGGAAAAGUUAUUGAGUCUGGCCUUGGCACUAGUGCAAAAGGUGUGAAGUCAGCACGGCUGGUUGAAGGAGUGACUCUACAGAAUAAUUGAAAUAAAGUGCAAGCCAUGACUUGACCUGUAAAUCCCUAGAUUUGGGCACCAUCCUGGCCGCUUCUUGAACACAGGCUUCACCCUCUUCAUUUCCUUUGUAUCCCCCAAGAAGGGUUUAAGAUUCAACUGUUCACUGAAAAUCUUAAGAGUCCUAGAAGCAAAUACACAGUCAGUUUUAAACAUAAAUAUAAAUAAAGAUACAGGGCAUUGGUCAUGUUAAGAGGCAUUCCUGGGAAUCUCUCUUGUACCGCAGGAUGAAAAGUGGUCCUUUCCUUCAAGAGGCUUGCAAAUUAAAUGUAAAAACAAGAUAAACAGGUUUAUGUAUGUCUUUUCCACUAGAGGAGCUUUAUGAGGGCCAGAGGUGGGUCUCAUGUUUCACUCACUGUUGGGUAGUAGAAGCACAGAGUGUAUUUUUUGAAUGCAUGGAGGGAGGGAAGGAGGACGGAAAGAGGGAGAAAGGAAGGAGGGAGAAAGGAAGGGAGGAAGACAGGCAAUGAAAUAAAUGAUGCAUGUUAUUAUUCAAAUAUAAGCCAGUUAUAAAUAAUAAGAAUAAGGAGAAUAAUGAGCAUGUGCCUUUGUGAAAUUAGGUAAAAAUUAAUGGCAAAACAAAACAAAAAAAAGGAAAACAAGAGGGCCAAAUGUGGUGGCUUAUGCCUAUAAUCCCAGAACUUUGGGAGACCGAGGUGGGAGAAUGGUUUGAACCCAGAAAUUCUAGACCAGCCUGGGCAAUGGAGCAAGACCCCAACUCCAAAAAAAAAAAAUUUAGCCAGGUAUGGUGGCACAUGCCUGUGGUCCUAGCUACUUGGGAGGCUGAGAGGGGAGGAUUGUUUGAGCCCAGGAGUUGGAGGCUGCAGUGAGUUGUGAUCUCACUACUGCAGUGCAGCCUGGGUGACAGAGCAAGAUCUUGUCUCAAAAUAAAAAAAGGAAGGAAGGAAGGAGGGAAGGAAGGAAGGAAGGAAAGAAGGAAGGAAGGAAGGAAAGAAAGAAAGAAAGAAAGAAAGAAAGAAAGAAAGAAAGAAAGAAAGAAAGAAAGAAAGAAAGACAAAGAAAGAAAGAAAAAGAAAAGAAAAAAAGCCCAGAAAAAACAAUGAACAGAGCAGUGGGGCCAGUUACAGGCAUUUAGACAUGAGGUAGAAAAACAAAGUUACCCUUUAUCAGAUCAUGUCCACAUAAUUUAAAACUGAAAAACAUAGUUAAUAAUCCAGAUAUUGCCUUGCCUAUAGUAACAAUAUUGUAUUGUUCACUUCAAGAUUUGUUAAGAGGGUAGAUCUCAUGUUAAAUAUUUGCAGUGGACUGAAUGUUUGUGUCCCUUCAAAAUUUAUGCUGAAAUCCUAACCCUCAAUGUGAUAGUAUUAGGAGGUGGGGACUUUGCAGGUAAUUAGGUCAUG